CAAGGCAAAGACGGGUAGGGGGUGUGAGAGCAUGGCCCCCCACAAUGGGACUGGAACACGGCCCAUACUCCUACGGGAGGCAGCAGCAGGGAAUAUUGUACAAUGGACGGAAGUCUGAUGCAGCGACGCCGCGUGGAUGAAGAAGGCCCUCGGGUUGUAAAAUCCUUUACAGGGGGAAGAGGAAGGACGGUACCCCUGGAACAAGUGUCGGCUAACUACGUGCCAGCAGCCGCGGUAAGACGUAGGACACAAGCGUUAUCCGGAUUUACUGGGCGUAAAGCGUCUGCAGGCGGACAGGUAAGUUGGGCGUGAAAGCUCCGGGCCCAACCCGGAGAGGUCGUUCAAUACUGCGUGUCUAGAGGGUGUCAGAGGGGAGUGGAAUUUCCGGAGUAGCGGUAAAAUGCGCAGAAGAUCGGAAAGAACACCAAUUGGCGAAGGCAGCUCCCUGGGGCAACCCUGACGCUAAGAGACGAAAGCUAGGGGAGCGAACAGGAUUAGAGACCCUGGUAGUC
rnacentral:rRNA from 1 species